rnacentral:rRNA from 1 species
CCUACGGGCGGCUGCAGUGGGGAAUAUUGGACAAUGGGCGAAAGCCUGAUCCAGCCAUGCCGCGUGUGUGAAGAAGACCUUCGGGUUGUAAAGCACUUUCAGUGGGGAAGAAAGCCUUGGGGCUAAUACCCUCGAGGAAGGACAUCACCCACAGAAGAAGCACCGGCUAACUCCGUGCCAGCAGCCGCGGUAAUACGGAGGGUGCGAGCGUUAAUCGGAAUUACUGGGCGUAAAGCGCGCGUAGGCGGUCUGAUAAGCCGGUUGUGAAAGCCCCGGGCUCAACCUGGGAACGGCAUCCGGAACUGUCAGGCUAGAGUGCAGGAGAGGAAGGUAGAAUUCCCGGUGUAGCGGUGAAAUGCGUAGAGAUCGGGAGGAAUACCAGUGGCGAAGGCGGCCUUCUGGACUGACACUGACGCUGAGGUGCGAAAGCGUGGGUAGCAAACAGGAUUAGAUACCCGUGUAGUC